CGCGAGGUGGAGCAACAUGGUAGCUCGUCGGGCUCAUAACCCGAAGGUCGUCGGUUCAAAUCCGGCCCCCGCAACCA
rnacentral:tRNA from 1 species